rnacentral:rRNA from 1 species
UGAGGAAUAUUGGUCAAUGGGCGAGAGCCUGAACCAGCCAAGUAGCGUGCAGGAUGACGGCCCUAUGGGUUGUAAACUGCUUUUAUGUGGGGAUAAAGUGCGUGACGUGUCAUGCAUUGCAGGUACCACAUGAAUAAGGACCGGCUAAUUCCGUGCCAGCAGCCGCGGUAAUACGGAAGGUCCGGGCGUUAUCCGGAUUUAUUGGGUUUAAAGGGAGCGUAGGCUGUCUAUUAAGCGUGUUGUGAAAUUUACCGGCUCAACCGGUGGCUUGCAGCGCGAACUGGUCGACUUGAGUAUGCAGGAAGUAGGCGGAAUUCAUGGUGUAGCGGUGAAAUGCUUAGAUAUCAUGACGAACUCCGAUUGCGCAGGCAGCUUACUGUAGCAUAACUGAUGCUGAUGCUCGAAAGUGCGGGUAUCAAACAGG